CACAGAAAGAUCUCAGAGUUACUGUUGGUAAAGGAAGCAAGUACUUUUGUGUCUCAUCAAAAAAAUAAAUAAAUCAUAGUGACAACGCAUUGGAAAUGAAAUCUGUCAACAGAAGCUCAUAUCACAUCAUCAGAAUCCACACCACACUUUGUGGGAAGCAAGAGUCUGACUUUCAGAGAUUAAAAUCUCCUGGGAAUGACUUGAGAGAUUUGCAUGUAAACCUGCCUAACAGCCUAAAUGU